rnacentral:lncRNA from 1 species
UUACUUCCAUAAUUGAUGUAAGAGAUAUAUGAGAUUUCUAUUCUUAGAGUAUUAAUAAGCUUGUGAAAAUCAACAAUGGUUGUAAAUCUUUUCUCACUUCUUCUGAGAGUAGCAUCCAUAAUUUUUCCUUCUAUAGAAAACUCAAAUAAAUCUACAAGUCUAAUUUAAGGAGAAUAAUCUACAAUCUUUAAUGUCAAAUAAAAACUUUCAUGAAGGAGAGGUAGUCCACUAUCUUUAAGAAAAAAAUCAAUGUUUAGAAACUAAAAUAUUAGUUUUAAGAUAGGUAGUGAGCAACCUUCAAAAUAUAAUAAUAGAAGUGGAAUAAUUCAACCACUUUUACAACAAAACAAGAACAAUAAAUUAAUACUCUUGCCAAAUUAUCAAAGACAUGAAUCUCAAAGAAUAAAAAGAUCAAUACACUCUUAAAUCACUCAAAAAGACUAAAAAAUUACUCAAAGAUGGUAUAAUAUUAAAUUAGAAUAAUUAUUGCUAAAGAUAAGAAGAUUAGCAAGUCUUGAAAUAAGACUAAAAACUAGAAAGGCAUUAACAAGUCUAAAGAAGACUUCAUUCUUACCUCCAUAUU